rnacentral:rRNA from 1 species
GAUGAACGCUGACAGAAUGCUUAACACAUGCAAGUCAUUGGCGAAGCUGCGCUUGCGCAGUCUAGCCAAGGCGGACGGGUGAGUAACGCGUAAGGAACUUGCCCUGCAGACAGGGAUAACAGACGGAAACGACUGAUAACACCUGGUAUUGUCAGGCUGGCGCAUGCCGGCCUGAUGAAAGGAGACGCUGCAGGAGAGCCUUGCGUCCUAUUAGCUAGUUGGUGGGGUAACGGCCCACCAAGGCGAUGAUAGGUAGCCGGCCUGAGAGGGUGAACGGCCACAAGGGGACUGAGAUACAGCCCUUACUCCUACGGGAGGCAGCAGUGGGGAAUAUUGGACAAUGGGGGCAACCCUGAUCCAGCAAUUCUGUGUGCACGAAGAAGGUUUUCGGAUUGUAAAGUGCUUUCAGCAGGGAAGAAGAAAGUGACGGUACCUGCAGAAGAAGCGACGGCUAAAUACGUG